rnacentral:lncRNA from 1 species
UUGAGCAUUUAUUAAUAGAAAUUUACAUCUUGUGGUGUUCUGGUAUUUUGUUCUGUGGUUCUGGGAAAGUGAAAUUGAUCUGAACGAGAAAGGGGGGGGCCCUGGCAGUGUUGGAGCCAAACAAGUGACAGCAGCAGUGAGUGUGAAGGGGAUCUCAAUUGUAUAGGUAUGAAAGUAAAUCACAUAUUCAUAUUAGACCCUACCCUAGGUAGGUAGGUGCAGUAGGUCCCAACUCAAAUCAUGCAUUUAUGGACCUUCAUCAACGCAACCACAAAUUGCAGCAUAUCAUCUUAAUCACAACACUCGUGGACUAAAGACCCUGUCCCACAAUUUAAUGCUCCCAAACAUUAAAAUUGACCAUUUUUUUUAAUAUGUAAAACGUGCCAAGUGCCAACAGUUCAAGACUGAACUGAACUCUGAUGUUUAAAAUGAGGGAACACAAUAGCAAUGUCUUUCCUUUUCUGAAACUAAAUUUGACUGAACUUUUGUUAGAGAUGUGUUCAGUGCAAGUUAAAAUUGUUUUUAAACACGCCUAAGUAGUGAAAAUUCAUGAUUACUAACAUUGUUUUCAUUUGAUUAACAUGUCACUUUCUUUUUCGAAAGUGUUGUAUAAAUAACAAUGCAACUUUAUUACUUACUGUUUCAUAUACAGCAGAUCUUCUGAAGUAAUAAACAGUCAGAAACCAAACAGCUUUUACAGCUACUAAAGCAAUUCUGAACAAAAAGAUGGUAAAACCUACAGAUUUAGUGCUUUAGACCUUUUUCUUGGGUACACUACGUGACACGAGAUAAAACAAGGUGUCCAUUAAAAAAUCAUACAGAAAAUAUGGGAACGAUGAAGAUGAAAGAUUAGCACAGUAAUUUACAUGCAAGACUGGAAUGGAACUAACACAGGGUAACAAGUUAGGAUCAAUCAAUCUAAUUAAAUAGCCAGAAGCAGUUUGAAAGCGCUGAAAAGAACUUGUACAUCAUCUGUAGCAUUAAACUUAAAAAGAAUUUUUCACAUCUAUCGGCAAAUUACAAUGUGGUUUAGGCCUUCAACCAAAUGAGUUGCUCCAGGGCUCUGGCAUGAUAUGAUUUUGUGCACAGCACGAUCGAUGGAUUUAACUUAGUUGGAUCAACUAAAUUGAAGAGUGCCCUGCAUUAAGUUAAGUACAAAUUUAGUUCUUAAAAUUGGCCAGCAAGCCAAGUAUGUAAAAGAAACUUGUCUUUGGCUGACAUGGAUCAUCUUUGAGCUUGAUCUGAAGAAGGUCCGACAGAAGUAGCUGCCACAUUGCUUGCUGACCCAUUCUCAAUCGGAGGAGGCACACCCCACUUGCCUUCAGACUCAAGGGGUUCAAAAACAUGAACUCCACCAUCCGACAGUCCUACAGCAAACUGAUUUGGCUCUUGUGGGUGAGCCGCAAUUACAAGUGGUUGUACGUUGGAACUGCUUUAUGAAGAUAAUGUUAGUAUUCAACAAAAAGCAUGUCAAAGAUUAAUUACAAGCACAUUCUAAAUUAAGAAUAAUCCAGGGUAACCCGAAAAAACCAAUAAAUUAUAGGAAAUGCCAAAAUUAUAUUUAUUUUCAGAUUGACUCUCAUUUUGGAAGAAGGGUAAGAAAAUUAACGCAUUUUAGAUCUAUUUCUUUGAAUUCAUAGAAUAUUCUUCCCCAUGCCAGCUGAUCCAACUACUUUAAUAAAAGGAUUAUUACCUGACACUUGCAGGAAGAUAUGCAGAAGGAUUGAUACGACAACGUAAUCUGAGAUUUGAAGCACUAAAUACACAGAUUGUUGCGUCUAAAAAGCUGGCAUAUAUAAGCUGGCUAUCACAGGAGAAUGUUGCAUGCGAUAUUGGUGCAGAUGAAUCUCGCGGAC